rnacentral:lncRNA from 1 species
AUACAUCGUAUAUAUAACAUCCUUAAUCCAUACAUCAUAUAUAUAACAUCCAUAAUCCAUACAACAUAUAACACAUCCAUGUAUAUAUAGCAUAAUCCAUAGCACAUCCAUGUCAUAAUAUUUGGCAUUACUACAUAAAAUUUGGCAUUACGAUAAAUGUCUUCAUGUCAAUAUUGUAGCCCAAAGAACAUCCGUACGACAACCUAUAAAAUGAAGUCAUGCACAUAUGUCAGAUUUUGACACACAAUAAAUAAAGGUUUUCAUGUCCAUAACAACAAAAUAAGGUGCGCUAAAUCAUUUGUACCUAAAUGAAAUUUGUCGCGAGUCAAUAGUUAUAGAUUCACACAAAGAGUUCUGAUUUUUUUCACUAGCUAGAUGCCUGAUGAAAUCCCCGUUGGAGCCACUACCAAAGAUACGAGGUAAAAUAUAAGGACCUGAUUAUCAUGUCUGAGAGUUAUAGCCAUAGUAUAUUUCGAGACUCAUCACAUUGGUCCAAGUCUGAC